GCCCUACGGGGCGCAGCAGGCGCGAAAACUUUACAAUGCGGGAAACCGUGAUAAGGGGACACCGAGUGCCAGCAUCAUAUGUUGGCUGUCCAGAUGUGUAAAAUACAUCUGUUAGCAAGGGCCGGGCAAGACCGGUGCCAGCCGCCGCGGUAACACCGGCGGCCCGAGUGGUGAUCGUGAUUAUUGGGUCUAAAGGGUCCGUAGCCGGUUUGGUCAGUCCUCCGGGAAAUCUGACGGCUCAACCGUUAGGCUUUCGGUGGAUACUGCCAGACU
rnacentral:rRNA from 1 species